GUAGUUGAGCAGCACGUAUACUAAAAUUGGAACAUUACAGAGAAGAUUAGCAUGGCCACUGUGAAAGGAUGACACACAAAUUUAUGAAGCAUUCCAUAAUUUU